rnacentral:rRNA from 1 species
GACGAACGCUGGCGGCGUGCCUAAUACAUGCAAGUCGAGCGCAGGAAGCCGUCCGAACCCUUCGGGGGAACGACGGUGGAAUGAGCGGCGGACGGGUGAGUAACACGUAAAGAACCUGCCCAUAGGUCUGGGAUAACCACGAGAAAUCGGGGCUAAUACCGGAUGUGUCAUCGGACCGCAUGGUCCGCUGAUGAAAGGCGCUCCGGCGUCGCCCAUGGAUGGCUUUGCAGUGCAUUAGCUAGUUGGUGGGGUAACGGCCCACCAAGGCGACGAUGCAUAGCCGACCUGAGAGGGUGAUCGGCCACACUGGGACUGAGACACGGCCCAGACUCCUACGGGAGGCAGCAGUAGGGAAUCUUCCACAAUGGACGAAAGUCUGAUGGAGCAACGCCGCGUGAACGAUGAAGGCUUUCGGGUCGUAAAGUUCUGUUGUAAGGGAAGAACAAGUGCCGCAGGCAAUGGCGGCACCUUGACGGUACCUUGCGAGAAAGCCACGGCUAACUACGUGCCAGCCGCCGCCGUAAAAC